rnacentral:lncRNA from 1 species
AGGAGGUAAUUGUGAAUGUCUUCUACUAAUGCACUUACAGCUGAAUGAAAACCUUUAAGAUUAGGCGUGAGAACAGGAUAUUGGACUCCAGGAUGCCGCUCAAUGCCUCUCAUUACCUCUUUGUGAUCUGCCAUCUGAGGCACCCAUUUGGAUGAAACAAAACUGGUCACUUCUAUUGCAGGAAGGCCUGUUUUAGAAAGCCGGUUGAUUAACUCUAUUUUGGUAUCAGUUGGGACAAUCACCUUUUCAUUUUGUAAACCAUCC